CCUACGGGGGGCUGCAGUGAGGAAUAUUGGUCAAUGGCCGAGAGGCUGAACCAGCCAAGUCGCGUGAGGGAAGAAUGUCCUAAGGAUUGUAAACCUCUUUUGUCGGGGAGCAAAAAGGCUCUGCGGAGUCGUAUUGAGAGUACCCGAAGAAAAAGCAUCGGCUAACUCCGUGCCAGCAGCCGCGGUAAUACGGAGGAUGCGAGCGUUAGCCGGAUUUAUUGGGUUUAAGGGGGGCGCAGGCGGCGUGUCACGCAAGCGGUAAAAUAGCGGGGCUCAACCCCGUCGAGCCGUUUGGACUGGCGAGCUUGAGUUCAGGCGAGGUAGGCGGAAUUCGGGGGGUAGCGGUGAAAUGCAUAGAUAUCACGAAGAACUCCGAUUGCGAAGGCAGCGUACCAGUCUGCGACUGACGCUCAGGCACGAAAGUGUGGGUAUCGAACAGGAUUAGAUACCCGAGUAGGC
rnacentral:rRNA from 1 species